GCUCAGUAGAGCCCCGCACCUGCAGAGGCGAAGCCAGACCGCACCCCUCACGGCAAAGCCCGGAGAGUUCAGCCCACGGUCAUCUCCUCUGAGCAACAGGGCUUCUUUGAAAGAUGCUGCCACCAUGUGGACAAGUCUGAGCUGGAUUGGUGGAGAGUCCUCAGCCAACCCCAACUGCCAGACCAUCCAGCCAAGUUGAGUGAGAGGCCAUUUAACAGAGUUGAGUUGCCAGAUGACAGCAGCCAUGCAAAGCCAGGAGAAGAAACAAGUCAACAACCCCUCGAGAACUGUGAGCAAAUAAAAUGAUUGUUAUUUUAAGUCAGUAAGUUUUAGGGUGCUGCAAUAGAGAAAUGGUAUGAGUACUUUUGAAAAAUAUCACUUCCUGCCUACCCUCCAUCCCAUCAGAUCUAAUGAUUAAGAAUUUCUUGGUAAGGAGCUCCACUGAUCUUUGUGUGGUGACUGUUGUUCAUCAACAAGGUUUGGAACUCACUAGCGUAGACCUUGGAGACUGAGUCCUACUGGGUCCCCUGGAUCUUGGAAGCCCACUAGGCCUACUCCAUUCGUGGUACCUGGGCCAAGGAAACCGUUCCUCCCUCUCUCUCCUAGGGUACAGGUCAGGACUUUUUCCAUUGCAAAUACCAAAAAACCCAACUGAAACUGCUUAAAGAAAAUGUGCAAUAAAAUUUUUUUGCAAUUGUUUAAGCAGUAGGGCUAAA